GGGUUAGCACUGUAUAAAAAAUCUAGUGUUUUGAAUCUUGAAACUUCAGCAAUACAUCAUCGUCGUGGUGCAUUUAAAACUGGUUGAUUUUGGGGGAAUCGUUGACUAUAAAAAGCUUAUGCUCUAUAUCUUCAGUGAACUUCCAUGGAAGCUCAUUUGCUGUUUCAAACCAAGGCCAUGAUGGUCUCAUUUGUACUGUCUUGAUAGGAAGGAGAGUGAAGGAUGGUGCUCUACUCCGCGUUUAUAUACUGAUUGUCUGCGGAUUGAGCCAGUGUUAAAAUCUCAAUGUUCCAAAUGUAUAUUCUACUGUAUUGUGAAUUUUAUUUUUUACCAUGUUUGUCUUUGAAAUUUGUUAAUGUAUAUACCAUGACUAAGCUAACGAGAAUGAUUCACAGAA